CGCAGAUCGAAAUCGUCAGGAUAACAUUGUUGUUCUGGCGGCCGGCUAACUAAACGUACCAUUAAUGUCCUCGAACCACUCGCUGUUUCAUAACGAACUAUCGCUCGUCCGAAUACUAACAAUCUUUAAGGUUUCGAUAACCGUAAUUCUCGAUUACGAUCAACAAUAAUCCGACACUUGAACGUUUGAAUUUUGAAGGCCUUCGGUUGCCGACUGCGCCGCGAUUCGAGAUUUGUUUUUGAUGACGAAUCACUAUUGCGCAGCCGUUUACUCUGAUCCGACAACGACGUCAAACUAUAUUAAUCCAAACACUCAAAGAUCGACGUCUGUCAAUCUGACGUAACGGGCGGGGCGAUCAAAGUAUUUUGAAAUCAAAAUCCGCCCGUCGUACAUUUACCCUCCUUACGCGGAAACCGUUCCGCUACCACGACACCGAGCCACGCGCUACUGCCGUCCGACCGAAUACUUCGAUGAGGCUUAGGUAAAACUUGGACGACCCAUCAUGAUAAUACGCACGCGAAACACGUCCAAACUUAAUAUAAGCACGUUAUAUGCGUUAUAGCACGUUCUGUUCAUAAUACAAUCUCUGCCCAUAACAUCCCCUCGGACCGAAAACGGUCCUGCGGGUUCCGGCUCAAGGGGCUCAGGGUAGGAUUCGGCCAUAUCGAGUCGUCCAGUAUCAAUCGGACACCGACCUUUUUGAUACGAUAGCACACGGCCAAUUACAGUUUUUCGCGUUUACAACCUGUGACCAAUGUUGAAACCGGAAAUUUUAUUUUUCGCGGGGAUGCUCACUUUUUUUUCGUUGUUCGUUUCGGGUGUAACGGGUAACGGGUGUCGACGGUCGUAUUUGUCAGAUGACGAAUAAAAUUCCGGGGAGGGUGGGGAGUACCUCGGUCCCCCCCCCCCGGAGUUUAUGCAGAUUCAACAUUUCCGUUUUUUUCAAUUCGAAAUGUCGCAUCGAUACGCCGCACGUUCACUGUAAAAAAAAAAAAAAAAAACGUUUUCGUUCCUCUAAAUUGCGUCUGGAUUAGACUGGCGGCACAAACCGCAUAGCGUCCGCCGGCACUCGGUGUCCACGUUAACGAACCGUGCCUCCGUUGACGGAUUUUCCGUCUCUAAUAGUGCGCUUAUUGUAAAAAAAAAAAAAAAAAAAAAAUGAUAAAAAAUACGCCGCGCUUACAGAUUGUACGACUAAAAAAAAAAAAAAAACCCGAUAAAAAAAAAUGUUCAAACGUAACAAAACAAAUCCGCAAUAAACCGCGGAGCAUAAUCGUAAUAAAUUGUAUUGUUAUUAUUUUCGCGGGGCAUUUUUCAAAAAAAAAUAUAUUUCGUCUC